rnacentral:rRNA from 1 species
AACGAACGCUGGCGGCAGGCCUAACACAUGCAAGUCGAACGCAUCGCAAGAUGAGUGGCGCACGGGUGAGUAACACGUGGGAAUGUAUCCUUUGGUUCGGAAUAACGUCUGGAAACGGACGCUAAUACCGGAUGAGCCCUACGGGGGAAAGAUUUAUCGCCGAAGGAGCAGCCCGCGUCUGAUUAGGUAGUUGGUGGGGUAAAGGCCUACCAAGCCGACGAUCAGUAGCUGGUCUGAGAGGAUGAUCAGCCACACUGGGACUGAGACACGGCCCAGACUCCUACGGGAGGCAGCAGUGGGGAAUAUUGGACAAUGGGCGCAAGCCUGAUCCAGCCAUGCCGCGUGAGUGAUGAAGGCCUUCGGGUUGUAAAGCUCUUUCGCACACGACGAUGAUGACGGUAGUGUGAGAAGAAGCCCCGGCUAACUUCGUGCCAGCCGCCGCAGUAACAC